UUCGGCGGAAGCGUCGUUC
rnacentral:snRNA from 1 species